rnacentral:rRNA from 1 species
GGGUUGUGAGGUUAAGCGACUAAGCGUACACGGUGGAUGCCCUGGCAGUCAGAGGCGAUGAAGGACGUGCUAAUCUGCGAUAAGCGUCGGUAAGGUGAUAUGAACCGUUAUAACCGGCGAUUUCCGAAUGGGGAAACCCAGUGUGAUUCGUCACACUAUCAUUAACUGAAUCCAUAGGUUAAUGAGGCGAACCGGGGGAACUGAAACAUCUAAGUACCCCGAGGAAAAGAAAUCAACCGAGAUUCCCCCAGUAGCGGCGAGCGAACGGGGAGCAGCCCAGAGCCUGAAUCAGUGUGUGUGUUAGUGGAAGCGUCUGGAAAGGCGUGCGAUACAGGGUGACAGCCCCGUACACAAAAAUGCACAUGCUGUGAGCUCGAUGAGUAGGGCGGGACACGUGGUAUCCUGUCUGAAUAUGGGGGGACCAUCCUCCAAGGCUAAAUACUCCUGACUGACCGAUAGUGAACCAGUACCGUGAGGGAAAGGCGAAAAGAACCCCGGCGAGGGGAGUGAAAAAGAACCUGAAACCGUGUACGUACAAGCAGUGGGAGCCUCUUUAAUGGGGUGACUGCGUACCUUUUGUAUAAUGGGUCAGCGACUU